CAGUCGCCGCGGUAAUACGGAGGGUGCAAGCGUUAAUCGGAAUUACUGGGCGUAAAGCGCACGCAGGCGGUCUGACAAGUUAGAUGUGAAAUCCCCGGGCUUAACCUGGGAACUGCAUUUGAAACUGUCAGGCUGGAGUCUUGUAGAGGGGGGUAGAAUUCCAGGUGUAGCGGUGAAAUGCGUAGAGAUCUGGAGGAAUACCGGUGGCGAAGGCGGCCCCCUGGACAAAGACUGACGCUCAGGUGCGAAAGCGUGGGGAGCAAACAGGAUUAGAUACCCCGGUAGUCCCUGUCUCUUAUAC
rnacentral:rRNA from 1 species